AAACCCUAGAAUUACACUCUUCUAGCCACUUUUUCUUAUUCUAUUCUAGAACUCUAUCUCGUGUGUUGGGGAAAUUGCUCAUGAUAGUUAGGCUGAUCAAAGAUUGGUGAGGAAGAUUGUAGUUGCAUUCGUGUUUCCGUUCUUGGCAAUUCCUAGCAAUCAAGAAAUGACAAAAGGAUAGUGAACUGAAAGGGUAGAGUCUUAUUAAUUCCGCUGCACAUAAUCAAGAAGAAUUGCAUUUUGGAUGGGAGUUCUUGAGGAGGGUUGAAAGAGUGGAAGAUUUUUCAGAGAUUCUGAUUGUACUUUAAGGUCUUCAAACAUGGCUCCUAAAAGUAGGAAGAAAAGAUAGGUGGAAGCCGAGAACGUGGAGAAUAAUGCGAAGAAGGAUAAUGCUACAGCAUGGCAGCACUUCUACAAAGCACAGUAUAAACCGUAUCUGGAUGAACACAAGGAAAUGUUUGAUAAAGAGGACAAUCUACAGAAACAAUUUAAGGCACUGCCAGUGUAGGAGAAGGCAUGGUGGAGAGGGGAUGCUCCCUUACAGGAGGAAGACUUAACUAAAAAGGAUAUGGGUCCGAAGGAGAUGGAGGUCAAAGGUGGCGAGGACAAAGAUAAACAUUCUGAGAUCAGUGACAAGGAGGCAACAUUGGAGUAGGAGGAGUCACGUCGAGUUUACAGUAGAUGCUCUUUCGAGAGGUUGUUUAAUAUUGUAAGGUUGCUAAGCCUAGAGCAGAAGGAUACGAUCGUGAAUGUCAGUUUCGACACAUUCAUGAGGGAGGCGGACCCGUACAUUGACACUUGAAUAGUCAGCUUACUCAUAGAGCAUGUUGACCCUUCAACUAGCAGAAUGGAAUUGUUUGGUAGAUCCAUCCAGUUGUCUACCCAAUUUUUCUCAGAUGUUAUGGCUGUAAAUGAUGGGGGAGAACCGGUGGUCAUGGAGAACGACAGAGACAUUUCUGAAAUUGAGGAGCUUUUGGGAGCACAAAGGUACACCGUUUCCCUGACCACUUUGGAGAAGGACUUGAAAGAAUCCACCAAAGUUGAUGCAUUAUUUGUUAUAAAGUUUGAUCUUGUUGCCAUCGGGACAGUGCUAUGCCCGAAGGCCAACACUGAUGUUAGUACUGAUUACCUUCCCUCCCUCAUAGAGACUAGUGGAAUUUCCAAAAGGAACUAUGGGUCCAUGGGCUUUUGUUACCUAAUGAACCCAUUAUUUAGGUAUCAGACUCACAACAUGAAGAAUGUUAGUGGUUGCACCAUUCUCUUACAGGUGAGCUCAUUCGUAGUUGUUUAUUUAUUGUUUUUUUAAGUUCGUUUAGCAAUGACCUUGAUGCUUUAUUCCUUUGCCAUCUUGUAUAUCUGACGCAUGUGGACUGGAGUAACGGUUUUGUAUACCAACCUAUUCCUCCAAUCAAUUUUUGGAAUGCCAAACAAUGCAAGGUCAUUUAUCGCUAUAAUCGUGACCACAACGGUCACACGAGUGAAGCAAUCAAGCUGACCAGGACUCAUGUCGUGCUACCAAGUGUUGCAUCAGAUACCUCUAGGAAGCCUACAAAUGAGGUUCUGACACAAGUUAUUAAUUAUGUGAAGGAAGAGGUGAGUCGUGUGGACAUAAAAGUCAUGCAGGCUGAGGAGCUACUCAGGAAGGAAAUGAGAUUUUUUAGAAAGUUUGUUUUAACGUACUUUGGGAGAGAUCUCGUAGAUGAAGGAGUUGGAGAGGAAGAAGUUGGAAAUGAGAAGUAAAAUUAUAAAGUUCCCAAUGUUCAGCAAACUUUAUCAUUUAAAUGAGAGUCUUACAAACUCGUGGAGCUCCAAAGUGAGAAACAAGUGGUUUCUGGAGUGAAGGGGGUUUCUGGAAUUGCUAAGGAUGUUUUGAAAGAGGUUGGUGAGGGAUCGGAUAGUGUAACCACUUUAAAUGAAUCUGAUCAAAUGAAUGGUUUGGAAGAGGCAAAUGUGGAUGAGGGGACAUUGGAUCAAGGGAUAGUGCAAGAGGAUGAUUUCUUUAAGAUUGUCAGUCUUUGGAACAAAGAGAAAGCGACAGUAAUUAUUAAUGAGGAAGAAAGUUGAAGAUGUGGAUGAAGAUCCUAAUGACGAUUUUGACUUAGACUCAUUCGAGGCAUUUAAGCAAUCUGGUGGAAUCGUUGAUGGCCCGUUCACUGUAAAGAAGAGGAUAAUAGAUCAAAUGUUCCUGUUUUUCUGCUUCUUCUUUUCAUGAAUCCUACACCAAAGCUGUAUGUUAUCCAAGUUUGGGAAACUUUAGGUGACUAGAUAUGUAAUGGGAUCUUUGAGGCUAGAGGGCCAGUUUGCUGGAAGUAAAGGAAGAAUGAAGGCACAGGAUCCGGUUGGGUCUGGUUUAUGCCAACUCGUAUUUCGAAGGAGCUGCUAGGCGCUUCAAUGACUGUGGAAAGGAUGGCCAGAGAGCAAGAGUGGUCAAAGCUCUACUAUGAUGAAGAUUUGAAUUGAUGCCAUAAGAUGCUUGUUCAAAUUCUGCAAACAGAAGGUGCCCACCAUUGGUUUCUAUCCCAUAUCAAUAUGCAAAACAUGACAGUCAAUUUGAUGGAUUCUUUGGAAAGUGCAAUGCACAAGACCUCUCGACAUCGGGUUUCCAAUGAAAUUAUUUUAAGACUCUGGACCAGUUAUUUGCUCUGUCCAAGCCUAAAAAUUUAAAAUUUGAGAAUUUAUUAUUACCACAAGCAAGGGGAACUUACACCAACAACAAACAGGUUUGAUUGUGGGGUAUACUUGAUGAAGUACAUGGAGUCUGUCUUUAUGGGAAAGGACCAUGUCGAUGAGAGGAUGCACGAUUAGAAUUAGCUGCAAGGAUAAGUAGCCACGCAAAUAAUGAGCAUUGGCUGAAUGUGCAGCAACACUGGAAGCAGAAUUGAGCUAAAACUUUUGGUGAACGUCAGCCAUACUUAGCGCACUCGCAGCCAUGUGCACUCCAUCAAAGUCUCCAGCAGAUAAUCGAUUCAGCACAGCAAAGGCUCGGUUCGAGAACAUGUGGACCAAGUCUAGGAAACCAUUACCCGCUCAUCAAAGAGGACAGCAUUGAUGCACAAGUGAUAAACAAUAAUUUAAUUUAGAAUUCAUAUAUUUAACAAACAAUGACAGAAUGUUUUUAGAAUUUUUAGUUUAUUUCUGUUACAUUUUGAAACAAUUAAGUACGUCUUAUAGACGUCUUAAGUAAAAACUGACCAACCACUUUUGUGAUUCGUAUUUUGAAACAAUUCUUAUUU